GUGAGGAAUUUUCCGCAAUGGGCGAAAGCCUGACGGAGCAAUGCCGCGUGAAGGAUGAAGGCCUAUGGGUUGUAAACUUCUUUUCUCAGAAAAGAAUUAUGACGGUAUCUGAGGAAUAAGCAUCGGCUAACUCUGUGCCAGCAGCCGCGGUAAGACAGAGGAUGCAAGCGUUAUCCGGAAUAAUUGGGCGUAAAGCGUCUGUAGGUUGUUUAAAAAGUAUUCUGUCAAAGAUUAGGGCUUAACCCUAGAUAGGCAGAAUAAACUUUUAAGCUAGAGUUUGGUAGAGGCAGAGGGAAUUCCCGGUGGAGCGGUGAAAUGCGUAGAUAUCGGGAGGAACACCAAAGGCGAAGGCACUCUGCUGGGCCAAUACUAACACUGAGAGACGAAAGCGAGGGGAGCAAAUGGGAUUAGAAACCCGUGUAGUCC
rnacentral:rRNA from 1 species